rnacentral:rRNA from 1 species
UACGAAGGGGGCUAGCGUUGUUCGGAUUUACUGGGCGUAAAGCGCGUGUAGGCGGGCCGUUAAGUUGGGGGUGAAAGCCCGAGGCUCAACCUCGGAACUGCCUUCAAAACUGGCGGCCUGGAGCAAGAUAGAGGCGAGUGGAAUUCCGAGUGUAGAGGUGAAAUUCGUAGAUAUUCGGAGGAACACCAGUGGCGAAGGCGACUCGCUGGAUCUUUGCCGACGCUGAGACGCGAAAGCGUGGGGAGCAAACAGG